UGGGGAAUAUCGCACAAUGGGCGCAAGCCUGAUGCAGCCAUGCCGCGUGUGUGAAGAAGGCCUUCGGGUUGUAAAGCACUUUCAGCGAGGAGGAAGGUGGUGAGCUUAAUACGCUCAUCAAUUGACGUUACUCGCAGAAGAAGCACCGGCUAACUCCGUGCCAGCAGCCGCGGUAAUACGGAGGGUGCAAGCGUUAAUCGGAAUUACUGGGCGUAAAGCGCACGCAGGCGGUUUGUUAAGUCAGAUGUGAAAUCCCCGGGGCUCAACCUGGGAACUGCAUUUGAAACUGGCAAGCUAGAGUCUCGUAGAGGGGGGUAGAAUUCCAGGUGUAGCGGUGAAAUGCGUAGAGAUCUGGAGGAAUACCGGUGGCGAAGGCGGCCCCCCUGGACGAAGACUGACGCUCAGGUGCGAAAGCGUGGGGCAGCAAACAGGAUUAGAUACCCUGGUAGUCCAGCGCUGUAAACGAUGUCGAUUUGGAGGUUGUGCCCUUGAGGCGUGGCUUCCGGAGCUAACGCGUUAAAGUCGA
rnacentral:rRNA from 1 species